rnacentral:rRNA from 1 species
UACGUAGGGUGCAGGCGUUAAUCGGAAUUACUGGGCGUAAAGCGUGCGCAGGCGGUUUGCUAAGACAGGUGUGAAGUCCCCCGGGCUUAACCUGGGAACUGCGCUUGUAACUGGCAAGCUAGAGUGUGGUAGAGGGGGUGGAAUUCCAGGGUGUAGCAGUGAAAUGCGUAGAGAUCUGGAGGAACACCGAUGGCGAAGGCAGCCCC